GCCAGAAAGAGGUGACAGCCGUGCGCAUACUGAACACACUGAAUUAUUCACUUUUCCCACUUGUUUGCUUUGGAAACAGAAACUACUCUGUAUAGCCCAGGCUAGACUGGAAUACUAUAUAAUGAAUACUAUAUAGCUCAGGCCAGCCUCAACCUUGUAACUCUCCCACCUUACCCUCCAAGUGCUGAGAUUGGAAGCACUGUGGCUGUACACAAUGCCUGGCUGAGUUAUUUUCUUUAAAAUGGAAAGUGUGGGGGUCAGUGAGAUGGUUCAGUAGGUAAAGAGGUUUGCCACCACAAACCUGACAACCUAAGUUUGGUUGACAGACCCCACGUGAUGGAAAGAGAGAAGUGACUCCCCUAAGUUGUCCUUUGAGCUCUACAUGUAAACUGUCACACGCACCCCCUACACAAAUACAAUUUAAAAUGUAGUAAAAAAUUAAUUUUUUAAAAACGGACUUAUUUUUUUCCAUCUUGUGAAUUUUGCCUCACCAAAAAUAACAGUUUGGGAAUUUACAAAGUGAAUGUAGUUAAUUAACACUUAUGGUCUAAUUAGCAUCCUCCUGGAAGGCAGAAGGCUUUCAGCAAACAUUUUUUGGGGCAUUGAUGAAUAUGACUAGAAUUCCUUUGCUGAGUCUCUUUUCAGAGACGCAUCGGCCAGGUAUUUGGACCUCUCCUUCUCGGCUACUCUUCACCAUCAUCUUGACCAGAUUUAGAGACAGCGUGGAAGUUGGCUCCUGGUUAUGCCUGUCAGUGAGGCUAUUUCCCAGAGCUGUUGAACAGAGAUGGGACGAAACACACUGGUCGUGCACAGCACCGUUCUGUGCAUGGAUUCCUUCCCUGAGUAAGAAGAAGGAAAUGAGCUGACCUAAGCAUUUUCUCUGCUCUCGGACUGAAGGAGCAAUGCCGCUUCACGCUCUUGCCCCUCUGCCGCAGCGGAUUGUUUCCUCCUAUGGCCAGCCAGAGUAAAGCCCAUCUUAAAUACAUUUGUUAGGCAUGUUGUCACAGAUACAGGAAAUUCCCUUCCAGAAACAGUGGAACCAAGAAAACAGCAUUAAAAUCAGAAUUUAAAAGAAUGAUUACAUUAUAUUUCUUUAUGGGGCAGUGGGGGCGCUGUGGCGUGCACGGAGGUCAGUAAGUUCUCUUCUUCCUUCACCACGUGGGUCCUAGGAUGGAACUCAGGUGGCAGGCACCUGUCUGUACGUGCUGAGCCAUCUCACCAGCUCUAAAAUCAGAAUUUAGAAGGGGAAGGGAUGCUAGAUGACAAAUAGUCUGAUGUCCUCAUUUUACAAUCACAAAUGUGAUCGGCCUUCUUUAAAUAGCGAUGCCGGCGAAAGUCAGCAGCCGACCAAGCUCCAGGCCCCAGCCUGCUUGCGCUCCUUUUGCUAUUCCUCGCUGUUUCAGCCUUGACCCCAGUCCCUGGAAGGGUGGAGACUGUGGAAGGAGGACUUGGCCAGACAACAGCUGUACUUGUGUGUAGAACAGGACUCGGGCCAUAUUUGGGUGUGGAGGAAACACAGCUGCACUCAGAGAAGGCAAGCAAAGUGGGUGGUCAAUAACUUAUCAGAAGUAUGAAGCACAGGAUCUGACUGCUGGAUACAGUUCCCCUUCCCAGGAGGCAAAUAUCUACACUUACACCCCGUUUCAUAACAGAGGUUAGUUACCCUGAAAGUAGAAAGCCAAGGAAAAUAGGGACAUGUGCCCUUUGUAUAAAUUUCUCCAAAGUAUUUGAAAUUUGAUAGAAUUUCAGAAUCAAGGUUGAUUUCGGGAAAAACUGGCCAACAGUAGUGUUUGCCCUUACAUUUUGUAGUAACUCAGUGUGUUCGGCUCGGUGAGAUAGUUUUCUAUCCCCUACAAAGAUUCCUUUGGAAUGCCAAUUAAAAACUAUUUCAUUGUGAGGGGACUUUUUCUAUCACAAGGGCCAGGAGCAAGACAUUGGAGCUACCAUUGAAAGGAACAGUAAAGGAUUUCAUAUCUUGUUUUUAGGGUAGUAAAGGGCAUGGGACUCUUAAAGUGUCUGAGUGUGUGUGUGUGUGUGUGUGUGUGUGUGUGUGUAAGUGUGUCUAGUUAUGGUUUCUAUUGCUGUGAAGAGACACCAUGACCACAGCAACUUUUAUAAAGGAAAAUAUUUAAUUGGGGCUGGCUUAUAGUUCAGAGAUUUAGUCCAUUAUCAUCCUGGUUAGAAGCUAUUAGGUCUCAAACUCAGGACAAAUGGCUAACUGAGGUGUGUAUUUGACAUAUCAAACCUGACCACUGAGUUCUCAGCAACUACCUAUCCCAAGAUCAUCCUGGCUGGCACGCCCCACCCCUACCCUAUACUCUCCAGCCCAUUGACUGGGUUGGACCCUUUCCCCUGCUUCUUUUCCCUGGAUAACCCAAACAUUUUUGGCUAUGCUGGUUUCUUGGUCUCUUGCCCUGUUGGCCACUGCUCUUGGAUUCCUGGCUCACUCUUCUCUGUUUGGGUCCUGGUUCCUCUCUUGCUCUUCCCACCUCUUCUCUCAUGGCCCAGGUCAGCCUUCCAGAUGCCUCUGGCUGUUUUUUCCCCCUGAUAUCUACAAUAAACCUUCUCUUCUAUCAUACCUAGGUGCAUCAUGUCCUUUUCUUUCUCGUCUAUGUCUAUGUCUAUGUCUAUGUCUAUGUCUAUGUCUAUGUCUAUGUCUAUGUCUAUGUCUAGUCUGUCUUUCUUUCUUUCUUUCUUUCUUUCUUUCUUUCUUUCUUUCUCUCUUUCUUUCUUUCUUUCUUAAGCAUGGCAGUGUGCAGGCAGACAUGGUGCUAGAAAAACGAGAGGAGAGAGUUAUAUAUAAACCCCCCUCCCCCUACCUGGGCCCAGUGACACAGUUCCUCCAACAAGGCCACUCAUCUUCUUUUCAAAUAGUGCUACUCCUUGUGAGCUGAUGAGGGCCAUUUUCAUUCAAACUGCCUCUGUGUGUGUAUGUGUGUGUGUGUGUGUGUGUGUGUGUGUGUGUGUAUGUGUGUGGUGUGUUUUCCACUUCAGUGUGGAUGGAGACAUGCCAAGGACUGUGAUAGUAAGAAGCGGCUCUGAGCCAAGUGCCAGCCUUCAGUUUGGAGAAGGCGAGCAGGAGCCAGAUUGCUGUCAGUAUUGGUGGGAUGCUGUUUGAAGUUUUGAGGCAUUCAGCCUAUUUGAUGCCCUGGAGCAGAAAGAAACAGUG
rnacentral:lncRNA from 1 species